rnacentral:rRNA from 1 species
CUUUAGCAGCUUAAUAACCUGCUUAGAGC